rnacentral:sRNA from 1 species
UCGAGACGGGGAGGCCCGCGGCAAGGUCCGACCGAUAAACUGUUCUCGGACGAGGCCGGGCGCAGCCUCCGAGCCCGUCCGCCAAUGAUCAGCCAGCAGCCGCUGCAACCCCAGGGAG